rnacentral:rRNA from 1 species
AUCAUUGACACACAUCCUAACCGAUGCUUGUGCCAACAAGCAGACCCAGCGAACUAUUCUCCUACCACUUGAGGGGCUGCAUCGCGAGGUGCAGCUGUCGGCGGCCGGGCCCUUGCUCUAGGGGUCGGAGUCCUUGCUGGGCUCACCGUUGCGGGUGAGCACCGGUUGUCCGACGGGGGCCGCUCUUGGGCCUCGCACAAGGGAGAGUGCGAGGGCGGCGUUUCCCACUCCAGCUGUCCUUCGGGCCAGCUGCGCAACCAACCACCAAACACUAUGCAAAAACCGACUGAAGACCGAUCCUUUGCGGGUUCCUUCGGGAGCCCCGCCUCGGAUCAAAACCAAACUAAAGACAACUCUCAACAACGGAUAUCUUGGCUCUCGCAACGAUGAAGAACGCAGCGAAAUGCGAUACGUAGUGUGAAUUGCAGAAUUCCGUGAAUCAUCGAAUCUUUGAACGCAUAUUGCGCCCGCGGCCUCGGCCAAGGGCAUGUCUGCCUGAGCGUCAUUAUAACACCUCACACCCCUUUUGGGGGUGGAUCUGGCCGUCCGGACCCCUUGGGGCCUGGUCGGCUGAAAGGCAGAUGCAAAGCCAGCAGCCCAUUCAACGGCAAGGCGUGGUAGACCGCAUCGCGGGCGAUCGUCGUGCCGGGGCUGAUUGCGGCUUUCGCAUUAGCAGGAACCGUCGCUUCCGACAGACUUCAAGGAGGGCCUUGACCCAUUGACCUCAGAUCAGGCAAGAUUACCCGCCGAAUUUAAGCAUAUCAAUAAGCGGAGGA